rnacentral:rRNA from 1 species
GACGAACGCUGGCGGCGUGCUUAAUACAUGCAAGUCGAACGGUGAAGCGCCUUCCUUUUUGGUGGGUGUGGAUGAGUGGCGAACGGGGGAGCAACACGGGAGUCACCUGCCCCCUUCUUCUGGAUAACCGCAAGCAAGUGUGGCUAAUACGGGAUAUCUUGGGUCUGUCGCUUGAUGGGUCUGGGAAGGAUUUUGUUUCGGUGGGGGAUGGGCCCGCGGCCUGUUAGCUGGUUGGUGGGGUGAGUGCCUACCAAGGCGGGGAGGGGUAGCCGGCCGGAGAGGGUGGGCGGCCACGCGGGGACUGCGACACGGCCCAGACUCCGACGGGAGGCAGCAGUGGGGAAUAGUGCACAAUGGGCGCAAGGCUGAUGCAGCGACGCCGCGGGAGGGAUGGAGGCCUUCGGGUUGUGAACCUCUUUCGCCAGUGAAGCAGGCCUGCCUCGUUUGUGGGUGGGUUGACGGUAGCUGGAUAAAAAGCGCCGGCUAACUACGUG